rnacentral:rRNA from 1 species
UACGAGGGGGGCGAGCGUUGUUCGGAAUUAUUGGGCGUAAAGGGUGCGUAGGCGGUUUGAUAAGUCUGAUGUGAAAUCCCCGAGCUUAACUUGGGAACUGCAUUUGAAACUGGCAAGCUAGAGUCUUGUAGAGGGGGGUAGAAUUCCAGGUGUAGCGGUGAAAUGCGUAGAGAUCUGGAGGAAUACCGGUGGCGAAGGCGGCCCCCUGGACAAAGACUGACGCUCAGGUGCGAAAGCGUGGGGAGCAAACAGG